rnacentral:rRNA from 1 species
UACGGAGGGGACUAGCGUUGUUCGGAAUUACUGGGCGUAAAGCGCGCGUAGGCGGUGAUCUUUGUCAGGGGUGAAAUCCCGGGGCUCAACCCCGGAAUUGCCUUUGAGACGGGAUCGCUAGAGUCCGAGAGAGGAUGGCGGAAUUCCUAGUGUAGAGGUGAAAUUCGUAGAUAUUAGGAAGAACACCAGUGGCGCAAGCGGCUGACUGGCCGAGACCUGACGCUGAGGCGCGACGGCGUGGGGAGCAAACCGG